ensembl:lncRNA
CCCAUGUUCCACCACAACCACGGUUGUGAGCUCAGAAGAUUCACUCAACUUUCAUCAUAAAGCAAUAAUCAAGCCCAGUUGUAUGAUUCACAAAGGGUCCCCACAGUUGUCAUUACAUCUGAUCCUCAAAGCAACCCUGUGAGCUCAGAGAGGCCAUGGAUUUUGACAACCAGGAGUUGAUGCCUCAGGGUGUGAAGCCUCAGUGUGUGAAGCAACUCCUGCACCACAUGACCUCUUGUUGAUACCAGAGUGAAUGAAACAGAAGUAGGCAAAUAACUGAAUGUUGAGAGCAAUGUUUUACAGGGUGAGGGAAGAGCGGGGCUCUGAAGCUGGAGAGAGUUGCUGAUGCUCUCACUGCCUUUGUCCAACUCUUUGUGACCCCAUGGAGUGCCACACACCAGGCUUCCCUGUCCUUCACUGUCUCCCUGGAGUUUGCUCAAACUUAUGCCCAUUAAGUCGGUGAUGCCGUCCAACCAUCUCCACCUUGAGCAAAAGUGUAUUUUAUGGAUACUCCAUUUAUAAUUAAAAAUAAUAGCUAAUCUUUAUUAAGUGUUGACUAUGUGCUUGGAGCUACACUAAUGCUUUAUAUUAUACCAUGUAGCAAGCCUCAGUGGAGAAGGAAAUGGCAACCCACUCCAGUGUUCUUGCCUGGAGAAUCCUAGUGAUGGGGGAGCCUGGUGGGCUGCCGUCUAUGGGGUCACACAGAGUCGGACACGACUGAAGCGACUUAGCAGCAGCAGCAGCAGCAAGCCUCAGAAGCCACGGGGUAUUUGCACAAUCUGCCCCCGUGCAUAUAUACCUUGUAACUGGAAAACCCUCUGCAUAUAUACCUUGUCACUCUGUCCCCUUCAUUCCACACCUCUAUGAAUGUCACACAUCCAAAAAGUUCUUUCCUGGCCGCUCUAUAAAUGGCUCAUACCCUUCUACGGUCACUCUUUCUCCCUCUUCCAUGGCCUCAUUUUUCUUUACAGCGCUCAACAUCAUUGUAGUCUGUAUUUGUUCAUCUGUGUAAUAUUUCUCCUCCCACCAGAAUAUGAACUCCUUGAGAGCAAAGACAUCCUCCCCACCCAACACCACCCCCAACCGCUGUAUUUCCAGCACCUCAAACAGUGCCUGGCACAUCCCAUUUUACAGAUGAGGAACCUGAGGUUCUGAAGGAGUGAAUCAUUUGCCUCAGGUGACAACACAAGCAGGAGGUGUAAGAGAGCCAUGAAUUAGGGAGGCAGACUCAGGAGCCCUGGACUCAGAUCCAGCUUCACCAUUGAGUCUCAACCUCUUUAAGUAAACUAGAAAGUGCUUGGGCUGCAUGGUCUAUCCACUGUCUUGUCAGGGCCUUCCAGACCAGAGUUAAAGGACCCAGCUCUCUCAGCCAUCCUCCCGAUGACCUUGCUGCCCCUACCCUGCCCCCAGGGAAAGGUAACUCUGUUUCAGCUUAAAUUCCCUUCUCUGUCUAGCGCAUCCACAUCAUCUCCCUUCCCACGGCACUGUUUAUGCACACGGACCUGUGUUGAUGCAUAUCACAGACCCCUUAGUCAUUGUUUAGCCAUUACACUUUGCUGGGGUAAUUUUCCAUUCCUCUGUUUAUAUUCCAUCUGUGCUUCUCUCCUCCGCCUCCAUUUUUAAGGGCAGAGAAAGACAUGUUCAGUAAUACAAGCAAUAAUAGUUAUAAUUAAGAUGGAAGCACUUUGCCAAAAGGAGGAUUUAGCUGUGAUUUGUUGAAUUCCAUCCUGAGUGGAUUAUUUAAGAGUGAAUUUAGGGCUCUUUUAUGAGCCUUUCUGAACAAAGCAGUCUUCUGACGCUUCUAUCUCCGAGGGCUUUGUGCCAGCCUUGGGAGGUGGGGAGUGAGCACAGGAGGGCACAUGUUUAGCAAGGCCUGGCUGCUGAAAAAGCUUAAAAGGAGCCUUCAGGGCACAUCCAAAAAGAUUUUGCAGUGUUUCUUUUCUGACCCCGUAUCUUCUCCUGGGCUUGGUCAUUGCUCUCGGUAGAGAAUGGGACUAAGUACCCCAUGCCUGCAUAUGAGAACACAUGUCUAGCUCAGCUUCAGUCUGAGUGCUCCCUGAUGUGGAUCUGGAGUAAUUUCCCAUGCUCUGCUUGAACUCAUUGCUUUUCCCACAUCCUAGGAUGGGACAGACAAACUAGACAGGGUGACAGCCCUAGCAGUUAAGGGAAAGGUGUCCUAGAUGAGAGCCUGGUAGAGCUGGGCUUUGCAGGUGGCUCUUUGGUUAAGACUUUGCCUGCAAUGCAAGAGACACAAGAGACACAGGUUGAUCCCUGGGUCGGGAAGAUCCUCUGGAAGAGGAAAUGGCCACCUGCUUCACUAUUCUUGCCUGGAAAAUCCCAUGGACAGAGGAGCCUGGUGGGCUACAGUCUUCGUGACUCAACAACAACACAGAGCUGAAUUUGAAUAUGAGCUUGAGCUUUACUCCCAAGGCAUCUUUUCCUGCAACCCCAGUCUCCAGCCCUCUGGAGUCCACAUCAAGCUUGUUCAGUGGUUGUGUGGGGAUGUUAGCAGUGGAGACAUGAUAGAGGGAGAAACUGGAGGGGUAUUUGUGGAUGCAAAACCUGUUCAAUUUCAGCCGCAUAGCUCCUGGUCCUCCUUGGUGCCUCAAGGGGCUGACC